GAGGUAUUUAACCUGGACUCGCGGCGACAGUCGACGUGGGAUUAUUACUCCGAACUGGAUAGCCGAGCGGAGAAGCGAGUUGGGGAGCACACGCACUAAGGGAGCUACAGCACGGGACGCACUGGGAGCAGGAGACGAGCACCAUUGGAAUAUUGCACCUUUGAGUUUAUUGUUGGACUUACCUGUCUGGUCACUGUAAAUAAAGUGCACUGUGGCAUCGAA